rnacentral:lncRNA from 1 species
GGGACUCAAGGUUAACAACAUCAGGGAGUUCUGAAAUCGCCAUAGAAGAACAAGGAAGCGUACCUGAGAAUGAAAUAAGGUAAAAACGCAGAAGGAAUGGCAGGAAGACAGAGAGCAGAAAGGAGUUGUUUUCCUCAGCAGACAGAAGGAAUUCGAAAUGACAGCCAAAUAAUGAAACAGCACUUUAAUCUGUACAGUUUUGUCUUGGAGCGGCGCGAUCAUUGAUUACCCUCGAAAUUUACCCUCCCGACGGUUGGCUAACCGGUGGGAAGGUAAAGGGGGCAAAAAGAGGGGAAGAAGGAUGACCGCUGGGCUUCUCUGCACACAACAGGGGCCAAGUCCAUCACAAUGGCCCAGUGCUCAAGGGCCCACGCGCCGCAUAAGAAGCCCAACUCAUCAGUCAAAGUAACCUAGCCCACAAAGAUUUACCUCUUUAUCAAUAAAGGGGAUAAAAGGGGCAAGAGACUCAACAGUACAAGCGAACAGGAGUACAAUCCAGGUCAGACUUGCUUAUUAUUUAGAAAAUUAUAAGUUCUGACGCGAUUGUUAUUAAAAUAAAUACUGAGAGACCGGGGCGCUAAGGACACCUCGGAGUCAUACAGAGCUAAAGGCUCAGAGUUCAACUUAAAAGCAGAGCUCACAGCUCGGUAUUCUAGCUCGAAAAAAGAAAAUCGAAAGCAGAAGCUCACGACUAAGUAUUUUGGCUCGAACAAAUAGGGCUCGCAGAUCGGUCGGAACAGUUCGGAAAGCGUAACUUGAGACCUCGGUCAACCAAAGAAGCACAAAGCUCCAGAUAAGUCCGAAUUCGUAGGUCGGAUAGUACAGCUCGGUGGAGUUAACUGACCUCCCAGUCAGUUGAGUAAGUCUUAAAGCCGAGCUCAUAGACCGGAUAAUACAGCUCGGAAGAGCUGACCGACCUCCCAGUCAGUUAUAUCUUAAGGUCGAGCUCGUAGGUCGGACAGCAUAUCUCGGGGGAGCAAGUCGACCUCCCAAUAAGUUGGGUCAGUCCGGAGCUCGGAUUGUCGACUAAAAGCGAGAGUUCCCAAGUAUUAUUUUAGCUCGGAAGAAAUAAAGUUCAGUUAGUUAGACCUACAAAGAAGACAGUACCAGUACUUCAUCCAAAACAAAGAAAGAAACAGGCUCAAGUAUGAACGAAAAAUAGGAAUUUCAUUAAAAGAAAAGUACAUUACAGAAUGGAAGACUAUCCUUUAAGAAUUUACAUAUCCGGACCUACAUUACAGAAUGGAAGACUAUCCUUAAUGGAUUUACAUAUCCGGGUACUUUGUCAUCUACGAUUACAUCACCUUAACCGACCUCAGCACUCAAGUCUUCAGUCCGGAGGAUACUCCAGCUCGAUAUGUGAGUUCGGCAGAAAAGCCAGGACCUGUCUCAACACUAUAGGGAAACUCCUGACGUUGAUUCACGGAAAACAUUUCACCCAUAGGUCGGCAUUCGGUUGCCCAAAUGCGAUGCAGAAGGCGCGGUGGACCUUGGUUCCGCAUAAUACUGGUACUUCCCACCAAGGCCACGCAGGAUAUAGGUAUUGAACAUUUUUCACUGUUCCAUCAUNN